rnacentral:rRNA from 1 species
CCUACGGGGGGCUGCAGUGGGGAAUAUUGCACAAUGGGCGCAAGCCUGAUGCAGCCAUGCCGCGUGUGUGAAGAAGGCCUUCGGGUUGUAAAGCACUUUCAGCGGGGAGGAAGGCGUUAAGGUUAAUAACCUUGUCGAUUGACGUUACCCGCAGAAGAAGCACCGGCUAACUCCGUGCCAGCAGCCGCGGUAAUACGGAGGGUGUAAGCGUUAAUCGGAAUUACUGGGCGUAAAGCGCACGCAGGCGGUCUGUCAAGUCGGAUGUGAAAUCCCCGGGCUCAACCUGGGAACUGCAUUCGAAACUGGCAGGCUAGAGUCUUGUAGAAGGGGGUAGAAUUCCAGGUGUAGCGGUGAAAUGCGUAGAGAUCUGGAGGAAUACCAGUGGCGAAGGCGACUCUCUGGUCUGUAACUGACGCUGAGGAGCGAAAGCGUGGGGAGCGAACAGGAUUAGAUACCCCAGUAGUC